AGAGUUUGAAUCUGGCUCAGGACGAACGCUGGCGGCGUGCUUAACACAUGCAAGUCGAACGGUAAGCCCCUUCGGGGGUACACGAGUGGCGAACGGGUGAGUAACACGUGGGUGAUCUGCCCUGCACUCUGGGAUAAGCCUGGGAAACUGGGUCUAAUACCGGAUAUGAGCUCCUGUCGCAUGGCGGGGGUUGGAAAGGUUUACUGGUGCAGGAUGGGCCCGCGGCCUAUCAGCUUGUUGGUGGGGUAAUGGCCUACCAAGGCGACGACGGGUAGCCGGCCUGAGAGGGCGACCGGCCACACUGGGACUGAGACACGGCCCAGACUCCUACGGGAGGCAGCAGUGGGGAAUAUUGCACAAUGGGCGAAAGCCUGAUGCAGCGACGCCGCGUGAGGGAUGACGGCCUUCGGGUUGUAAACCUCUUUCAGCAGGGACGAAGCGAGAGUGACGGUACCUGCAGAAGAAGCACCGGCCAACUACGUGCCAGCAGCCGCGGUAAUACGUAGGGUGCGAGCGUUGUCCGGAAUUACUGGGCGUAAAGAGCUCGUAGGCGGUUUGUCGCGUCGUCCGUGAAAACUUGGGGCUCAACCCCAAGCUUGCGGGCGAUACGGGCAGACUUGAGUACUGCAGGGGAGACUGGAAUUCCUGGUGUAGCGGUGAAAUGCGCAGAUAUCAGGAGGAACACCGGUGGCGAAGGCGGGUCUCUGGGCAGUAACUGACGCUGAGGAGCGAAAGCGUGGGUAGCGAACAGGAUUAGAUACCCUGGUAGUCCACGCCGUAAACGGUGGGCGCAUAGGUGUGGGUUUCCUUCCACGGGAUCCGUGCCGUAGCUAACCGCCAUUAAAAG
rnacentral:rRNA from 1 species